rnacentral:rRNA from 1 species
GACGAACGCUGGCGGCGUGCUUAACACAUGCCAGUCGAACGCUGAAGCUCAGCUUGCUGGGUGGAUGAGUGGCGAACGGGUGAGUAACACGUGAGUAACCUGCCCUCUUCUUUGGGAUAACGCCCGGAAACGGGUGCUAAUACUGGAUAUUCACUGAUUCUCGCAUGGGGGUUGGUGGAAAGGUUUUUUCUGGUGGGGGAUGGGCUCGCGGCCUAUCAGCUUGUUGGUGGGGUGAUGGCCUACCAAGGCUUUGACGGGUAGCCGGCCUGAGAGGGUGACCGGUCACAUUGGGACUGAGAUACGGCCCAGACUCCUACGGGAGGCAGCAGUGGGGAAUAUUGCACAAUGGGCGAAAGCCUGAUGCAGCGACGCCGCGUGAGGGAUGGAGGCCUUCGGGGUGUAAACCUCUUUCGCUCAUGGUCAAGCCGCAGCUUUGGGUUGUGGUGAGGGUAGUGGGUAAAGAAGCGCCGGCUAACUACGUG